CUCCUGGCGCGGCAAGUGGUUCUUCCUCAGCUCUCUCCUGCAGGUAAAAGAUACCUGCUUUCUGCAGCCUAUGUAGACAGCCACAAAUGGGAAGCAAGAGAAAAAGAACAUUACUGUCUUGCUGAUCUUGCAUCUUUAAUGGAUAAAACAUUUGAGAGAAAGUUGCCUGUUAGUUCUUUAACAAUAUCACGGCUUAUAGACAACAUUUCCUCUCGGGAAGAGAUAGAUCAUGCAGAGUAUUACCUUUACAAGUGGAAUUUUACCUGAUGUGAACUGUUAUGUACCUGUUUUCAUUUAACACUGUUUUAAAACCUUUUCUACAUUACCACAUUUACUUCAUUCUUUCUCACAGCUGCUAACAAUUCCAUUGUGAACUACCCACAAAACUCAGCCAUGUGUACAAAAAGUACAACAUCAUUUAUGGUAGCAAAAGACUGAAACAACCUAAUGCACAUUAAAUAAAGAACUGGUCAAACA
rnacentral:sRNA from 1 species